UACGUAGGGGGCAAGCGUUGUCCGGAAUCAUUGGGCGUAAAGAGCGUGUAGGCGGCCAGAAAAGUCCGCUGUGAAAACUCGAGGCUCAACUUCGAGCUGUCGGUGGAAACUUUCUGGCUAGAGUCCGGAAGAGGAGAAUGGAAUUCCUGGUGUAGCGGUGAAAUGCGCAGAUAUCAGGAGGAACACCGGUGGCGAAGGCGGGAUCCUGGGCCAGUACUGACGCUGAGGAGCGAAAGCGUGGGGAGCAAACAGG
rnacentral:rRNA from 1 species